rnacentral:rRNA from 1 species
AUUGAACGCUGGCGGCAGGCCUAACACAUGCAAGUCGAACGAGUGGCGGACGGGUGAGCAAUGUGUGGGAAACUGCCUGAUGGAGGGGGAUCACUUCUGGAAAGGGUAGCUAAUACCGCAUAAUAUCAGAUGUGCCCAGAUGGGAAUAGUUAGUUGGUGGGGUAAAGGCUCACCAAGGCGACGAUCCAUAGCUGGUCUGAGAGGAUGACCAGCCAAACUGGAACUGAGACACGGUCCAGACGCCUACGGGAGGCAGCAGUGGGGAAUAUGGCACAAUGGGCGCAAGCCUGAUGCAGCCAUGCCGCGUGUAUGAAGAAGGCCUUCGGGUUGUAAAGUACUUUCAGCGGGGAGGCGUUACCCGCAGAAGAAGCACCGGCUAACUCCGUGCCAGCAGCCGCGGUAAUUC